ACUCCUACGGGAGGCAGCAGUAGGGAAUCUUCCACAAUGGGCGCAAGCCUGAUGGAGCAACACCGCGUGAAUGAAGAAGGGUUUCGGCUCGUAAAGCUCUGUUGUUAAAGAAGAACACGUAUGAGAGUAACUGUUCAUACGUUGACGGUAUUUAACCAGAAAGUCACGGCUAACUACGUGCCAGCAGCCGCGGUAAUACGUAGGUGGCAAGCGUUAUCCGGAUUUAUUGGGCGUAAAGAGAGUGCAGGCGGUUUUCUAAGUCUGAUGUGAAAGCCUUCGGCUUAACCGGAGAAGUGCAUCGGAAACUGGAUAACUUGAGUGCAGAAGAGGGUAGUGGAACUCCAUGUGUAGCGGUGGAAUGCGUAGGUAUAUGGAAGAACACCAGUGGCGAAGGCGGCUACCUGGUCUGCAACUGACGCUGAGACUCGAAAGCAUGGGUAGCGAACAGGAUUAGAUACCCUGGUAGGAUAGCG
rnacentral:rRNA from 1 species